rnacentral:rRNA from 1 species
UACGUAGGGGGCAAGCGUUGUCCGGAUUUAUUGGGCGUAAAACGCUCGUAGGUGGCCACGUCAAGUCGGAUGUGAAAUCUCCCGGCUCAACUGGGAGGGGUCAUUCGAUACUGGCGGGCUCGAGACCGGUAGGGGGAAGUGGAAUUCCGAGUGUAGAGGUGAAAUUCGUAGAUAUUCGGAAGAACACCAGUGGCGAAGGCGGCUCACUGGACCGGCAUUGACGCUGAGGUGCGAAAGCGUGGGGAGCAAACAGG